AUUGAACGCUGGCGGCAGGCCUAACACAUGCAAGUCGAGCGGUAGAGAGAGGCUUGCUUCUCUUGAGAGCGGCGGACGGGUGAGUAAUACCUGGGAAUCUGCCUGAUAGUGGGGGACAACAGUCGGAAACGGACGCUAAUACCGCAUACGUCCUACGGGAGAAAGCAGGGGAUCUUCGGACCUUGCGCUAUCAGAUGAGCCCAGGUCGGAUUAGCUUGUUGGUGAGGUAACGGCUCACCAAGGCUGCGAUCCGUAACUGGUCUGAGAGGAUGAUCAGUCACACUGGAACUGAGACACGGUCCAGACUCCUACGGGAGGCAGCAGUGGGGAAUAUUGGACAAUGGGGGAAACCCUGAUCCAGCCAUGCCGCGUGUGUGAAGAAGGUCUUCGGAUUGUAAAGCACUUUAAGUUGGGAGGAAGGGCUGAUGCUUAAUACGUAUCAGUCUUGACGUUACCGACAGAAUAAGCACCGGCUAACUCCGUG
rnacentral:rRNA from 1 species